AUUGAACGCUGGCGGCAGGCCUAACACAUGCAAGUCGAACGAGUGGCGGACGGGUGAGUAAUGUCUGGGGAACUGCCUGAUAGAGGGGGAUAACUACUGGAAACGGUGGCUAAUACCGCAUACCAUCGGAUGUGCCCAGAUGGGAUUAGCUAGUAGGUGGGGUAAAGGCUCACCUAGGCGACGAUCCCUAGCUGGUCUGAGAGGAUGACCAGCCACACUGGAACUGAGACACGGCCCAGACUCCUACGGGAGGCAGCAGUGGGGAAUAUUGCACAAUGGGCGCAAGCCUGAUGCAGCCAUGCCGCGUGUAUGAAGAAGGCCUUAGGGUUGUAAAGUACUUUCAGCGGGGAGGCGUUACCCGCAGAAGAAGCACCGGCUAACUCCGUGCCAGCAGCCGCGGUAAUAC
rnacentral:rRNA from 1 species